AUGGUCACGUGGCCGCGGCACGCAGACCAGUUCAACAACGACAUGCUCAUCAUGGAGAUGCUCGAGGUGGGUGUCAGCGUCGGUGCCAAGGACUACGGGUCAUCCCUCGAGGCGCACGAGGUUGUCGGCGGCCAGGUGAUCGCCGGAUCCAUCGGGAGGUUGAUGGAGAGCGACGCCAUACAGAAGAAGGCCAGGGACCUCGCUGUGAAGGCAAGGAGCGCCGUGGCGAACGGCAGGUCUUCGUACGACGCCGUUGGCCGGCUGAUGGAGGAGUUGACGGCUCGCCGGAGUUCCGUCAAUCAAGGUUAA
rnacentral:rRNA from 1 species